rnacentral:lncRNA from 1 species
AUUUGGCAGAGAUAGAAAAGGGUUGAGGCAGCCAGAGAGAAAGAGACGUUGGCGAAAUUGCAGGGAUGUUUAAACAGCAUGUUUAGGGCAUGGAGGAGGCCUCGGUCUCCCAACACAAACAAGGGUAGGUGUUGCACCAUUCUCUGCCCCAUAAAUCACCCCACCCCUCCUCACCCGCCUGUUUCUCCCGUUCCACUGAGAAUUGGUGCUCCGAAAGCAGAGUAUAAGGCACUAAGUCACAAGGCAACCCUCAUGAUCCCCGGGCAAAAGGGUAGCUCUGUUUUUAAACCCGGAGGAGGCAUCUUCCCCCGGGGGUUGCCGGGCUUCUGUUCCUGUGUGUGUUGGUCUCCAGGAAGCCAUGGAGAGCUUGGCAGCAGAGACAGAGUCUCGAUAUGUCGCCAAGCUUGGUCUCAAACUCCAAGGCUCAAGUGCUCAAGUGAUCCACCCACCUCGACCUCCCAAAGUGCUGGGAUUACAGGGAAAAUAGUAAUUGAGCAUCAGACAUCACCACUCCUGAAAAAAACCUUCUACAAGAAUUGAAAAGUGUUGCAGGACCUAAUACUGAAAUAGGAAAUAUGGACUAUCUUCAAACUGCACAAAUGAUGCAUGAAUCCACAUUUGAGACCCGCAACUCCGAGACAGGGUUGAACACCUGGGCCAAUACAUGGCAUGGCAUAGGUGAGGGACACAAGACUGCUCCACGAAUGAGGCUGCCAUGCUGGGGGGAAGAGUGUUGUCACUGAACGCAAGAACCUGCUCUACGGCUGAUGCUGCCGCCCGCCACACCCUGCCUCCUGGGAGAGACAGCCCUCUAUUCUUCCCCUCCCUACAUGAACACGCUCCACAGUAUGAUUUCACAGUGUUCCCCAUCCAGAGGUGGAGCUGCAUCUUCAUUCUGAAAAUCCAGGCUUUAGCCAACAGAAUGUCACACAAGUGAAGGCAUGGUGGCUCUAAGCCCAGGCACGCUUCUCUUCAUGCUCUUGGUACCCUGUCUGGUCACCAUGUGAUGAAGCCUGGCCUGGCUUCCUGGAGGGAUGUGAGAGCCCACAUGAAGCUGAGAUGAGCCAUUCCACCUAAAGUCCCAGAUACAUAAGAAGACCCAGGAAACAUGGUCAAAGCGCUGGCCACACCUACAGUUGACUGCACACAAGAGAGGGAGUUCAGAAGAGACCAGGAGGACCACUAGAAUGGUGUCAGCCCAAAUUGCUGACUCACAUAAUCACGAACAUAAUAAAUGGUUGUUAUUUCCAGCUACUAAGUUUUGGGGUUUUUUGUGACACAGCAUAGCUGACUGAUACAUACCUUUUCCUCUCUCUCAUCUCUUACAAAUCAAUCAAGUACAAUCAAUUGUCAUUACCAAGUGGUCAUCCAAGCUGACUGCUUCUCUUUGCCUCCUUUGCCCAGGCUUUAAUUCAGCCUGUCAUCAUUUCCAGGGAGUACUGAACUGGUCUGAAAGGGUGUCUCCCUGGGUCUUAGUGAGCCCCCUCAGGUCCAUUCUUCACCUACAUAUCAACAGGGGCAGGCUCCUUCCCAUGAAGGUUCUAUGAAGUGCAGACUCCACCUCUGCUAACCUGGAGGUCUUUCCUGGUCACCAUUGCAUCCUUCCCUGGUUCCCGUUGCAUUCCACAUCCUGGCUACACAAUUUCCGGUGUCCCCACGUGUGUAUCCAGCUCUACCUAGUGCACCAUCUUCCCUGACACCUCACUCUUCUCCUGGGCACCUCCCACCCAUAUUUUGGGGGAUUGGCUUGGAUAUUGUUCUCUCCAGGAAACCCUACCUCCCUCACCUAACCUAGUCUAGGAGUAUCCCUUCUGCCUUGCUACAGGAUCCCAUAUGUUCCAGGAAAUUAUUCAUCAGAUUUGACUGCAAUUACUUGUUUAUUUGCCUUGCCCUUUCCAUCUCUGGACCUCACUUUACACCACAGAGGGAAAAAGGUGAAACCAUAAAUUUUUCUAAGGAUGCCAACAUACCCCAAAAAUAUUGAUACUAGUACUCUGCAUGAUCAUUGAAAGGUAGAGGUCACCUUCAAUCACUUUCUCCUCCCCCAUAAUUGAAAACUCACAAGAGCCUUGGGGUUGAGUGCGUUUACUCUCAACUUAAACUCAAGCAGGUGUCAGCCCAAAUCUCUAAGAAUAUGACCCUUAGGGAAUGGGGAACCUGUUCUCCCAACAAUACAGGACACAAAGUCAGCCUUCUGGGCUUCAAGUUCUCCCUCCUUUGACCUGAGACGGGAUUGACAGUGCACUCUGAUGGCUUCUUUGGGCAGAGUGUUCAUACCUUCCUUUCUCCUGUCCUUCUUGGGUUUCAAGUUAGUGCUGGUCAAAGAAAGGGGAGUAAUGGUGGUACUGGGAGAAAUGUAAUAGUCUCAGCACUCAUUCACAGCCUUGCUUUGAGAGCUAAGGGGCAUCUUCUGCAGUGAAAACCAAUGCUUGCCUCUCCUUUCUCUGAACUCUGAUUGGUCCUGUGCUGAAGGUCAG